GACGACGGUGGUGCGGCGAGGGCCCA
rnacentral:sRNA from 1 species